rnacentral:lncRNA from 1 species
CGUGGAAUCACCCUACAGAAGAGGCCAGCUAUAAAGGAUGUCUCACACCUUUAAGAUCAGUGUUUCUCAAUGUGUGGACCAUGGAUACCUGUAUUAGAAUACCCAAAGGAUUUGUUUAAAAUUCAGGCUGAGCCCUUCCCAAGACCUAAUAGAGCUAAAAGCUUUGGGAGUAGGUGGAGGAAACCUGCAUCUUUACCCAGCAAUCCAGGCAAGAUGAUGAUGAAUGAAGUCCUGGCAGCUUCCUGUGUCCCAGGCCUUGUAGAAAUAAAUGAGACAGACGUGCUUCAAAGUUCUAAUGUGCAUCACAUCGGAUCUUGUUUAAGGAAGCGUUAAAAGGAACCCGCCGUUACCUAUUGAGAAGGCUCUGUGCUCUCAGGCAUUGUUUCUGAUUGAAUCCAGAGGUUGCAAGCAUGCCUUCCUGUAUUACCUGUUGGAGCAGGUUUAAUUUUAUAAAUUUUAAACACAAACUCUAUGAGUUUCUAGUUCAUAAUUGUUCUUUUUGGGGAUCCACUCAGAUGAACAGUAUUGCAUCUGUAAGAGAUACCCACUUCCCAGGACCAGAUUUGAUUGGAAUAUCAGUGGCAACAGACUCC